CGGAAAACUAAAAUGGCUGUGAGUUAGGGGGUUUGUGGGUUGAGCAUGUCGACUGGUGUCACCGGGAGGAUGGCUAUGCAAACUCCCACAGAUGGAACUCCUACUUCUAAAGGAGGGUCAACCUCAAGACGUAGAGUCCAUUUUCAGAGUACAGGGUUUCCACUAAGAGGUUUAACUUCUGCGCGAAGGCAUACACCAUUUCGUCAAGCUCCAUCAAAGAGAAGGAUACCCCAGAACAAAUCUGUGGAGGAAAAUGUUGAUCCAUCGAAAAUUGGUCUCUUACUACGCAAGCAGUGGCGCCUGUACAGUGUGACCCCAUUGCACAAGUUUUCAGAUACUAACCUGAAAGAUUAUGCCAGGCUUCUUACUGCCCACAUUGCUGCUGAAAAGCAGAAAGGACUUGCUGUUGAGGUGGGCUUGGAAAUGAAUCUGAAAGUUGCUUUUUCCAGUCUUCCAUGGCUCAAAGGAAGAGACAGAGAUCCUGGUGGAAUUCUUAUUCAAGUUUCAGCCAAACCUCAGUUCUCUGCGGCGGACUCAGAAGACAGAAUUCUUUGGUCAGGCUUGUUCUGUUGCACCUUUGGAGAUGAGGGCAUGUUAGAUCUUUUACCAGAGACUAUGAUCAGCCUGCCUUUAUUUCUCUCCAAUGGGUCAGAGACUUUCACAGCAACAGUGGGAAUGUGGUUUCAGAGGACUUUUGAUUGUUCAUUCAGUAACUUGCCAAUUAGUGCUCAUGACUUGGCGUGGAUGACUGCCAUGUGGACUGGUUAUGAUGUGUAUGGACAUGCUGCUGCAACUGAGCUGGUCUUCUCAGUGCCAUGUGAACCACAGAAACUGGACAUUUCUUAUGCUAUCCAUCCAGAUGAUGUUCGGGCCCUUUGGGACGACAUUCACAAAAGUCAGGAUGAGGUCACAGAGGAAGAAGUUGACCUUUUUUUCCAGUGUCUAUAUUCGCACUUUUUCCGACAUUUUAAAAUUCACUUAUCGGCAGCACGUCUGGUGAAGGUGACUACAUCUGUUGCUUCUGCACAUUGUGAUGGCAAUGUAAAGGUUUUCACAACAUGAGGGUGCUAGUUCAUGUGGACCAUAUAGAUAACAUUGUGGUCACGCUGUGGGUUGUGGAUGACACUGCACUAUUUGGCUAAAAUGCAAGUCAAUAGAUAAUAACCAUGGGAUCAGGGGCUGUCAAGAAGCUUAUAUACAAGUUUCUGUGUAAAGAACAUCUGAUUCGAGUGCUUGCCCUUCUCACCGAGCUAGCCCUUAAUUUGCAGUAUUGACCUUCUUAACAAGCAUCUUCCAGGAUUUGUCUUUUAAAAAUCUGCCCACCCUGUAUAUAAAGGAGCUGGAUACAUCUGCCCUCUGGCUUUUGAAUGCAUUACUCUUUGUUAGACUUAUGGAAGAGCAGUAUAGCUGUAUUAUGUUAAUGCAUCAUCGUGCCUAAUAUUCCACAGGACAAUUAUUUAUAUUUUUAUGCUUUUAAGGAACUUGCACUUUUUCUAUGGAAGGUUAUGCAUUAAUGUUUUUAUAUAGUGCCAUCCUUCAUAUUUGUCAUACCUCCUUCAAAUAAACUUUUUUCUCAUGUC